UGGGGAAUUUUGGACAAUGGGCGAAAGCCUGAUCCAGCAAUGCCGCGUGUGUGAAGAAGGCCUUCGGGUUGUAAAGCACUUUUGUCCGGAAAGAAAUCCUUGGCUCUAAUACAGUCGGGGGAUGACGGUACCGGAAGAAUAAGCACCGGCUAACUACGUGCCAGCAGCCGCGGUAAUACGUAGGGUGCAAGCGUUAAUCGGAAUUACUGGGCGUAAAGCGUGCGCAGGCGGUUUGCUAAGACCGAUGUGAAAUCCCCGGGUCUCAACCUGGGAACUGCAUUGGUGACUGGCAGGCUAGAGUAUGGCAGAGGGGGGUAGAAUUCCACGUGUAGCAGUGAAAUGCGUAGAGAUGUGGAGGAAUACCGAUGGCGAAGGCAGCCCCCUGGGCCAAUACUGACGCUCAUGCACGAAAGCGUGGGGGAGCAAAACAGGAUUAGAUACCCUGGUAGUCCACGCCCUAAACGAUGUCAACUAGUUGUUGGGGAUUCAUUCCUUAGUAACGUAGCUAACGCGUGAAGUUGACCGCCUGGGGAGUACGGUCGCAAGAUUAAAACUCAAGGAAUUGACGGGGUCAUAGCUG
rnacentral:rRNA from 1 species